rnacentral:misc_RNA from 1 species
AAAAGUCGUAACAAGGUCUCCGUUGGUGAACCAGCGGAGGGAUCAUUAACGAGUUCUACAAAAACUCCCAAACCCAUGUGAACAUACCCUGCGUUGCCUCGGCAGGCGGCGUCCCCUCUCGGGCGACCCUACCCUGCCGGAGGCCAUCACAACUCUUGUUUCUAUAGUAUCAUUUCUGAAAUUCAUAACUAAAAUAAGUUAAAACUUUCAACAACGGAUCUCUUGGUUCUG